rnacentral:siRNA from 1 species
AACAUUAUCUUUAAAAAGGUGCUG